UUUAUAAGGAAAAAAAGUUUUAGAAUCCGAGUUUAUUACAUGAGGCACUCAAGUCUCUCUCUCUCUCUCUCUCUCUCGAUUUGGAUAUGUGUUCUUUUGCAUGUUUAGCCAAGCAAAGACUAGCUUCGUCGUUAGCCCAGUGAUUUACUUUCGAAGACUCUAAGAUGAACAUGGUGCCAACAAAAUUAUUGGGUAGUGGUUGUUGGAGUUUUGGCUACUCUGGUUCUUGAAUUGUCAAUUUAUGGGGCAUGGUGGAUUUGGAGGUCUAGGCAAGGGAAUGUAUCAUAUGAACCUAUUGGUGCUGUUGUUGUAACUCAUAUGGUAAUUUUAUGUUUUGUAAUCUAAUGUAUAAAUACCAAACAAUGUAAUAUGUAGUGGAUUGCAUUGUGUUGUAUGCAUUUUACGAGAUGAAUAUUUUAUUUUAUUUAUUAUUGUACAUGCAUUUAGUUAAGAA